rnacentral:rRNA from 1 species
GACGAACGCUGGCGGCGUGCUUAACACAUGCCAGUCGAACGGAAAGGCCCUGCUUUUGUGGGGUGCUCGAGUGGCGAACGGGUGAGUAACACGUGAGUAACCUGCCCUUAACUUUGGGAUAACUUCAGGAAACUGGGGCUAAUACCGGAUAGGAGCUCCUGCUGCAUGGUGGGGGUUGGAAAGUUUCGGCGGUUGGGGAUGGACUCGCGGCUUAUCAGCUUGUUGGUGGGGUAGUGGCUUACCAAGGCUUUGACGGGUAGCCGGCCUGAGAGGGUGACCGGCCACAUUGGGACUGAGAUACGGCCCAGACUCCUACGGGAGGCAGCAGUGGGGAAUAUUGCACAAUGGGCGGAAGCCUGAUGCAGCAACGCCGCGUGCGGGAUGACGGCCUUCGGGUUGUAAACCGCUUUCGCCUGUGACGAAGCGUGAGUGACGGUAAUGGGUAAAGAAGCACCGGCUAACUACGUG